rnacentral:rRNA from 1 species
UACAGAGGAGCCAAGCGUUGUCCGGAUUGACUGGGCGUAAAGCGCACGCAGGCGGAUGCGCGCGUGGGGUGUGAAAUCUGGCCGCUUAACGGCCAGGCGCCAUCCCAUACGGCGCGUCUGGAGUGAUGCAGAGGUCGGUGGAAUUGCCGGUGUAGUGGUGAAAUGCGUAGAGAUGUGGAGGAACACCGAUGGGCGAAGGCAGCCUCCUGGGCCAACACUGACGCUCAUGCACGAAAGCGUGGGGAGCAAACAGG